UUUGGGUACGUGAUGCCGGUUUUAUUCGAUCUUUGGGUACGUGAUGCUGGUUUUAUUCGAUCUUGAUAUGCGCCUCUGUUCUCGAUCUGUUUCUGGUGGGCGCAACAACUUCGAUUUGAUCUGGCGGGUGGCACCAGUUGCAUCAGGAGAAAAUGAGGAGAGAAAGUGGUACGAGCAGGAGAUGGCUGAUGAGCUCAAGCUCUUCUACACGUUCAACUAGUUCUGAGAAUCGGCGAAGAUGCAGACCACAGAUGGAUCAGUUCACCUAUCACCAGUACUUGAUACAAAGAUUGUUGUGGUUGUGCACUAGUGUCUUCGAUAUGGAAUUAUUCGAUUAAAAUAAUGCAUGGUCAUCGCAGGAAUUUUUUAGUUAUCACCACAACGUAUCCAUCCCUCAGUCUCUCAAACCAAACACUUAAAAUGGCUAUCUCUAACCAUCCCACCCAACCAAACAAAAAAAGGGUUAUCCCUAGCCAGGUGGUUGGGGAUAC